rnacentral:rRNA from 1 species
CACGUAGGGGGCGAGCGUUGUCCGGAUUUAUUGGGCGUAAAGAGCUCGUAGGCGGUUUGUCGCGUCUGCUGUGAAAUCCCGAGGCUCAACCUCGGGUCUGCAGUGGGUACGGGCAGACUGGAGUGCGGUAGGGGAGAAUGGAAUUCCUGGUGUAGCGGUGAAAUGCGCAGAUAUCAGGAGGAACACCGAUGGCGAAGGCAGGUCUCUGGGCAUUAACUGACGCUGAGGAGCGAAAGCAUGGGGAGCGAACAGG